rnacentral:rRNA from 1 species
GACGAACGCUGGCGGCGUGCUUAACACAUGCAAGUCGAACGAUGAAGCAAAGAAUUGAAGCUUCGGCAGAAAUCCACUUCGGAUUAGUGGCAGACGGGUGAGUAACGCGUGAGCAACCUACCCCUUACAAAGGGAUAGCCUCGGGAAACCGGGAUUAAUACCAUAUAACAUUGCGACGAAGCAUUUCGAUGCAACCAAAGCUACGGCGGUAAGGGAUGGGCUCGCGUCGCAUUAACCAGAUGGCGAGGUAACGGCUCACCAUAGUAACGAUGGGUAACCGGGAAGAGAGGGUGAGCAGUCACACUGGAGCUGAGACACGGUCCAGACUCCUACGGGAGGCGGCAGUGGGGGAUAUAGCACAAUGGAGUGAACUCUGAUGCAGCGACGCCGCGUGAGUGAUGAAAGGAGUCAUGUCGUAAAGCGCUAUUCUAUGGGAAGAAAAGGACUGUACCAAAGGAGAAAGCCCCGGCUAACUACGUG